rnacentral:rRNA from 1 species
GUCCACGCCAUAAACGAUGGAUACUAGAUGUUCGGAGAGUUAACCCUCUGAGUAUCAAAGCUAACGCAUUAAGUAUCCCGCCUGGGAAGUACGGCCGCAAGGCUAAAACUCAAAGGAAUUGACGGGGGCCCGCACAAGCGGUGGAGUAUGUGGUUCAAUUCGAAGCAACGCGCAGAACCUUACCUGGGCUUGACAUCCCUUGAUCGCUACAGAGAUGUAGUUUUCCCUUCGGGGACAAGGUGACAAGUGCUGCAUGGCUGUCGU